AUUUCCUAGGAAAUAUGGCCUCCCCUUCGGAAAUUUGGCCCCCUCGAAAACAUAGUUUACUUUGUCGCUAUAAGCUCGGAAAUCGUGAAGUUUCUUCUUAAACAAAGAUCCUAAAAAUGUUUGUCAGUAUUUAUAGUUAGUUUGCAUAAUUUAUUUGUGUCGAAAUUCUUCAUUGCGGCCAAGAGCUAAAAGUUUGAAGGAAAGCAUAAUAUGUGUUAGUGCAGUCAUGCCAGACGCAUCACACAUGGGUAUCUGUAGAGGACAACGUUAAUGCACGAUGGCUUAACUAUAACUAAGAACACAAAACGAUUUUAGAGAUAAGAAUUUAGAUCUAUAAAUUCAGUCACAUAGUAUAAAAUUAGUCAGAAUAACAACCGCACUUUAGCAAACGAUGACAUCAUGCGUUGGCGAAUAUGUUAAUAAUGCACGCGUCUAAUAAAUAACAGGGAGUAAUUAGCGGUAAAAGUAGACUUUUAAGUGAAAACGUUUGUUCGAAAAACAGAAUCAAAUGAGUGGUUACUUCGUAAAAAAACAUUUUCCUACGGGUUUUUUUCUUUCAUAUACACAGUAUAUAUAAUUGCUCGUAUGGUUGGGAUGUAUUACAGAAGCAUUCUGUAUGCUUCAUCGCUCACAAAAAUAUUCCGCACACACAAAAGCACAAAAGUUUAAAUGACGUUCCGUUUCAAUAGCUUAAUGAUACAGCCAUUAUUUAGGAGCUGUUCAUAUGUCCCACUUACCGAGAGGUCUUGCCUACCGAGACGAAUAUUUCCGUACGUUCAUAUGGAAUAUUUCGUCCCCCUUGCCGAGAUGAAAUUACUGUAGCCGUUCCAUAAUUAGCGUAUGCUACAUUUCAGUCAAGCAACACAAAUACUUGCGAUUUUAGUGUUUUUCUUCGUUUGUUUACAAGAAAAAGUAUUGCUUUAGGUACAUGUUAACGUUGUUAUUAUGUUGUUCACAUGCCUUAUUAACGUUGUCUUCUAUGAAGCUGGUCAAAACCAAACGCGAAAAGUACGCUAAACUUUAGCUCUUGGCCUAGAUUCUCGUCAGUAUUGCAAUUCAAUAGAGAAUUUUGACACAAAAAAUUACGCAAACUGACUAUAAAUGUCGAGAAAAAUUUCUAGAAAUUUGUUUUAGUAGAGGCCUCACGAUUUCCGAGCCUAAAGAUCUGAAACAAACUAUAUUUUUUAAGGGGGGGGCAAAUUUCCGAAGAGGGGGCCUAGGGGGGGCCAAAUUUCCUGUGACACCGGGAUGAAUGUAAACACAAAUACAUUUCAGACCGGUCUCGGCUGUAAUCUUGACAUUGGAACAACACAUGCUAGCAAAAGCCACCUGAAAAAGAAAAUUGCCUGGCAAGGGGAAUAAAUUGAAGAUUUUGUGAUCCUCGUACCGGUCUCAUGUAAACAUGUUGACAAUUUCAAUUUUCAUUCCGGUUUGACUUCGACCCGGUCUCAUGUAAACGGGGCCUAAUAUAUGCACUCCAUCAAUAUUUCACGCACCACGGUUCAGCAUAUGUGCAAUUGAAAAGGCAUUCAAAUUUUAGCAUGAUACACCCUGUAUCUGAUAAUGAUUUCCCUUGAUUUACAUAAACUUUAACUUUGAUUUUCUCGACAUACAC
rnacentral:lncRNA from 1 species